rnacentral:rRNA from 1 species
CCUGGCGACAGGAUGCUAAUCCCAAAAACCUCUCUCAGUUCGGAUCGAAGUCUGCAACCCGACUCCAUGAAGCUGGAUUCGCUAGUAAUCGCGCAUCAGCCACGGCGCGGUGAAUACGUUCCCGGGCCUUGUACACACCGCCCGUCAAACCAUGAGAGUUGGCAACACCCGAAGUCGGUAGUCUAACCGCAAGGAGGACGCCGCCGAAGGUGGGGUUGAUGAUUAGGGUUAAGUCGUAACAAGGUACC